UACGUAGGGUGCGAGCGUUGUCCGGAAUUACUGGGCGUAAAGAGCUCGUAGGCGGUUUGUCGCGUCGUCCGUGAAAACUUGGGGCUCAACCCCAAGCUUGCGGGCGAUACGGGCAGACUUGAGUACUGCAGGGGAGACUGGAAUUCCUGGUGUAGCGGUGAAAAUGCGCAGAUAUCAGGAGGAACACCGGUGGCGAAGGCGGGGUCUCUGGGCAGUAACUGACGCUGAGGAGCGAAAGCGUGGGUAGCGAACAGG
rnacentral:rRNA from 1 species